UACGUAGGGGGCAAGCGUUGUCCGGAUUUAUUGGGCGUAAAGGGCUCGUAGGCGGCCCAACUAAGUCGGACGUGAAAUCCCUCAGCUUAACUGGGGAACUGCGUCCGAUACUGGAUGGCUUGGAUUUGGGAGAGGGAUGCGGAAUUCCAGGUGUAGCGGUGAAAUGCGUAGAUAUCUGGAGGAACACCGGUGGCGAAGGCGGCAUCCUGGACCAAUAUUGACGCUGAGGAGCGAAAGCCAGGGGAGCAAACGGG
rnacentral:rRNA from 1 species